ncrna:Nocardia otitidiscaviarum NBRC 14405 L31-Actinobacteria ribosomal protein leader
UCGGUUCCGGUUCACGUCCUCGGUCGUCGAGGGCGACCCGGCGACC